ensembl:lncRNA
CCUCUCCUCUAGAGAACCAGGUCUGUCUGUCCGCCUCUCCUCUAGAGAACCAGGUCUGUCUGUCCGUCUCUCCUCUAGAGAAGCAGGUCUGUCUGUCCGUCUCUCCUCUAGAGAAGCAGGUCUGUCUGUCUGUCCGUCUCUCCUCUAGAGAAGCAGGUCUGUCUGUCCGUCUCUCCUCUAGAGAACCAGGUCUGUCUGUCCGUCUCUCCUCUAGAGAACCAGGUCUGUCUGUCCGUCUCUCCUCUAGAGAACCAGGUCUGUCUGUCCGCCUCUCCUCUAGAGAACCAGGUCUGUCUGUCCGCCUCUCCUCUAGAGAACCAGGUCUGUCUGUCCGCCUCUCCUCUAGAGAACCAGGUCUGUCUGUCCGCCUCUCCUCUAGAGAACCAGGUCUGUCUGUCCGCCUCUCCUCUAGAGAACCAGG